UACGUAGGGGCUAGCGUUGUCCGGAAUCAUUGGGCGUAAAGAGCGUGUAGGCGGCUCGAUAAGUCCGCUGUGAAAGUCCAGGGCUCAACCCUGGGAUGCCGGUGGAUACUGUCGGGCUCGAGUCCGGAAGAGGCGAGUGGAAUUCCUGGUGUAGCGGUGAAAUGCGCAGAUAUCAGGAGGAACACCAAUGGCGAAGGCAGCUCGCUGGGACGUGACCGACGCUGAGACGCGAAAGCGUGGGGAGCAAACAGG
rnacentral:rRNA from 1 species